GACGAACGCUGGCGGCGUGCCUAAUACAUGCAAGUCGAACGAGAGCGACCGGUGCUUGCACUGGUCAAUCUAGUGGCGAACGGGUGAGUAACACGUGGGUAACCUGCUCAUCAGAGGGGGAUAACAUCCGGAAACGGAUGCUAAAACCGCAUAGGUCUUCGAGCCGCAUGGCUUGAAGAGGAAAAGAGGCGCAAGCUUCUGCUGAUGGAUGGACCCGCGGUGCAUUAGCUAGUUGGUGAGGUAACGGCUCACCAAGGCCGUGAUGCAUAGCCGACCUGAGAGGGUGAUCGGCCACAUUGGGACUGAGACACGGCCCAAACUCCUACGGGAGGCAGCAGUAGGGAAUCUUCCGCAAUGGACGCAAGUCUGAUGGAGCAACGCCGCGUGAGUGAAGAAGGUUUUCGGAUCGUAAAACUCUGUUGUUAGAGAAGAACAAGUGCUAGAGUAACUGUUAGCGCCUUGACGGUAUCUAACCAGAAAGCCACGGCUAACUACGUG
rnacentral:rRNA from 1 species